AGAGCCUUCCUUGCUCUCUCCUCUCUUUGAAACCCCCUAGGGCCGGCCUGUGGGUUUCAUCGGUGCCGGAUGCGCCUCCACCUCCGCCGUGACUCAUGGCCUGGGUCGCGCCAAACGGGGUGUUUCAAAAUCCCCCUUUUAAUAGACUUGAAGGCCGAGCCUUCCUCACGCAAGAAAAAUCGAGAGGAGAAGACCCUCACCUACCUUUGGUCCGAUAUUCGUGCCGGAGAAAGGACCUCCGACAAUCGAAACCCCCGGUAAGUUUUUGGUGAACUUUCCUCUUCUUUCUCUAUUUAUCAAUGAAAAAUAGAACUUAAAAGCAAAAUCAAUAGAAAAAAAUGAAACGCAAGUCACCUUUUUAAUUUCUUUUUUGUUUUUGAUUGUUAUGUAUGUGUAAAGAAAGGUACAAAGGGUUGUUCAUGGCUUUAUAGUCGAAUAUUCAAAGAACAAAAAUACAAUUUCCCCUUUUUUCUUCGUAUUUGUUGUUGCACUUUGCUGCUGUUUGUCUAUUUUUUCGCAGGUAUGGAGUGUGUGCUGGCAUUCGGCGUGGGCAUACGGAGGCGCACGUGGUGGUCGUAUGGCGCUGAAGGCUGGGGCUUGGUUGUGGCGCAAGGGGUAGAAACCCUGGGGUUUCUGUUUCUAAAAUAUUUUGGGCCUUUUGGGCCUUGAAUUUUGGGGCUGUAAUUGGGUUAAUUUGGGCCCAAUGUACUGGACUGUUAAUAUCUAUUGUAAAUGGGUUGUAAUAUUUGGACUACUUUAAUAUUUUUAUUAUAAUUUUUUUCUUUUUGUUUUGUGUUUGUACGGGCUCGGCCCAAAAUUGGGCCUUACAAAAGGAAUUAUUUUUUUACUCUCUUGAGUUUGGAUUUAGAGUUGUGGAACAUAGACAAUUUCUUAGUACAUGAUUUUGCUCUUGAUCAGUAUAUUGAACCAAUUCAAC
rnacentral:lncRNA from 1 species